rnacentral:tRNA from 1 species
GCGCGGGUGGUGGAACGGUAUACACGUACGCUUGAGGUGCGUAUGCCUUACGGCUUGGGAGUUCAAAUCUCCCUCCGCGCA